GCCAGAAUGGCAUAGUGGUUUGAGCAUUGGACUACAUCUCUGGAGAACAGGGUUCAAAUCCCGGCUCAGCCA